CGAGUCGGUCGGGUGAUCGCGGCGCUGGCAACAGGGUCGAGGAAAGUCCGGACUCCACAAGGCAGGGUGGUGGGUAACGCCCACCCGGGGCAACCCGCGGGAAAGUGCCACAGAAAACAGACCGCCGGUGUGCAAGUGCCGGUAAGGGUGAAACGGUGGUGUAAGAGACCACCAGCGUUCCGGGUGACCGGAGCGGCUCGGCAAACCCCACCUGGAGCAAGGUCAAGAGGGUGGGAGGCUUCGGCCUCCUGCUUGCGCAGACGAGUCGCCUGCUCGAUGUCUGCGGGUAGACCGCACGAGACUGUCGGCAACGGCAGCCCUAGAUGGAUGAUCACCAACGCGCUCUCGGUUCGCCGGGGUCGCGGCUCACAGGAUCCGGCUUACAGACCGACUCGUCCC
rnacentral:RNase_P_RNA from 1 species